rnacentral:rRNA from 1 species
GACGAACGCUGGCGGCGUGCUUAACACAUGCAAGUCGAGCGGUAAGGCCCUUUCGGGAGUACACGAGCGGCGAACGGGUGAGUAACGCGUGAGUAACCUGCCCCCCUCUCUGGGAUAACAGUUGGAAACGGCUGCUAAUACCGGAUAUUCAGACCUUUAGGCAUCUUUUGGUUUGGAAAGUUCUGGCGGUGGGGGAUGGACUCGCGUCCUAUCAGCUUGUUGGUGGGGUAGUGGCCUACCAAGGCGACGACGGGUAGCCGGCCUGAGAGGGCGACCGGCCACAUUGGGACUGAGAUACGGCCCAA